rnacentral:rRNA from 1 species
UGGGUGAGUAACGCGUGGGUAACCUGCCCUUAAGUCUGGGAUACCAUUUGGAAACAGAUGCUAAUACCGGAUAAAAGCUACUUUCGCAUGAAAGAAGUUUAAAAGGCGGCGUAAGCUGUCGCUAAAGGAUGGACCUGCGAUGCAUUAGCUAGUUGGUAAGGUAACGGCUUACCAAGGCGAUGAUGCAUAGCCGAGUUGAGAGACUGAUCGGCCACAUUGGGACUGAGACACGCCCAAACUCCUACGGGAGGCAGCAGU